rnacentral:rRNA from 1 species
UACGGGGGGAGCAAGCGUUGUUCGGAUUUACUGGGCGUAAAGGGCGCGUAGGCGGUCAGCACAAGUCAGUUGUGAAAUCUCCGGGCUUAACUCGGAAAGGUCAACUGAUACUGUGCGACUAGAGUGCGGAAGGGGCAACUGGAAUUCUCGGUGUAGCGGUGAAAUGCGUAGAUAUCAGGAGGAACACCAAUUGCGAAGGCAGCUCGCUGGGACGUUACUGACGCUGAGACGCGAAAGCGUGGGGAGCAAACAGG